ensembl:lncRNA
GGGAGCCCUCUUACAUUUGGGAACUUUACAGUCCUAUUGAUCAAACAACCAUGAACAGUGCAGCUCAAGAAAUAGCACCACCCUCAAUCGCAUGGCGCUACAGAGGGUGGUGCGGACAGUCCAUUACAUCAUUGGGGCAGCGCUCCCAGCCAUCCAGGACAUCUAUAUCAGGCGGUGUGAAAGGAAGGCCCGGAAAAUCGUUAAAGACUUCAACCACCCAAGCCAUAGUCUAUUCUCUCUGCUUCCGCACGCCAAGCGGUACCAGUGCUUCAAGUCUGGCACCAAUAGGCCCUUGAACAGCCUCUAUCCCCAAGCUAUAAGACUGAUAAAUAGCUAACAAUAGUUAUACAGACGAUCAGAGUUAACCUUGUAUCCUUAUCGACCUUUUAUUUUUAUUUUUGCACGGUCUCUGUGCACACUCACAGGACCCUAUACACUCACAGGACCCUACACACUCACAGGACCCUAUACACUCACAGGAUCCUAUACACUCACAGGACCCUAUACACUCACAGGACCCUAUACACUCACAGGACCCUAUACACUCACAGGACCCUACACACUCACAGGACCCUACACACUCACAGGACCCUAUACACUCACAGGACCCUAUACACUCACAGGACCCUAUACACUCACAGGACCCUACACACUCACAGGACCCUAUACACUCACAGGACCCUACACACUCACAGGACCCUAUACACUCACAGGACCCUAUACACUCACAGGACCCUAUACACUCACAGGACCCUAUACACUCACAGGACCCUAUACACUCACAGGACCCUACACACUCACAGGACCCUACACACUCACAGGACCCUAUACACUCACAGGACGCUAUACACUCACAGGACCCUAUACACUCACAGGACCCUACACACUCACAUGAUCCUAUACACUCACAGGACCCUAUACACUCACAGGACCCUACACACUCACAGGACCCUCACACACUCACAGGACCCUACACACUCACAGGACCCUACACACUCACAGGACCCUACACACUCACAGGACCCUACACACUCACAGGACCCUACACACUCACAGGACCCUACACACUCACUCACACAUAAUAUAAACAUACAUUUUUACUGACUCUACACACACAUACACCCACUCACAUACAAGCUGCUGCUACUGUGUUUAUCUUAUAUCCUGUUGCCUAGUCCCCUUACCCCUACACAAAUCUAACUCCAUCACUCCAGUAUCCCUGCACAUUGUAAAUAUGCUAUUGGAACUGACCCUAUAUAUAGUAUGGUACUGUGUUCCUCAUAUUUCUUCUUAUUUCUUUAAAAAAAAAUAUAGUAAUACAUUGUUAUUGAUAAUUGCAUUGUUGGGUUUUGUGUUUGCAUGAAAGGCAUUUCACUGUACUUGUGCAUGUGACAUUAAAACUUGA